AAUCUCAGGCCAUGUAACUGGGUUCUGCCACAGGGCCUCCACCCAGCUGGGCCUUCCUCUCGACUAUCCACAUUCAACAUCUAGCAAGGGGAGUGCCUGGCACUCGAGUGGAUUCCAUUUCCAAGCCAGCCAUCACCUCUAAUGAUGUGCACAUCUCCUGUGAACCUGGAUGCCUUCCUAGAUAAACAACAAAGUCUUACAAACACAACUUACUCCCAGGCCCAGAGAGUUCCUAAUAAGCCAAUGUUGGUGUGUGUGGGUGUGAUGAGACCCGCGAGAAGUCCCCAGAUGGAGAUUGAAGAAGUGGAAAUUCGGUGCUAAUGCUAAUUCUUCAUUUAGCACUGUUUCAGCCAUAGUUAAAGCGUGCAUUGGGGCCUUAAAAAGGUUAUGUUUAUAAGGAAGAAGGAAGACAGUCCAUGUCUGACUUGCUGAACAUGCAAAACGAAAACAACAACAAAUAAAGUAACCCUGGAACUCC
ensembl:lncRNA novel transcript